GAUGAACGCUGGCGGCGUGCUUAACACAUGCAAGUCGAACGAAGCAUUUAGGACAGAUUACUUCGGUUUGAAGUUCUUUAUGACUGAGUGGCGGACGGGUGAGUAACGCGUGGGUAACCUGCCUUGUACUGGGGGAUAGCAGCUGGAAACGGCUGGUAAUACCGCAUAAGCGCACAAUGUUGCAUGACAUGGUGUGAAAAACUCCGGUGGUAUAAGAUGGACCCGCGUCUGAUUAGCUAGUUGGUGAGAUAACAGCCCACCAAGGCGACGAUCAGUAGCCGACCUGAGAGGGUGAGCGGCCACAUUGGGACUGAGACACGGCCCAGACUCCUACGGGAGGCAGCAGUGGGGAAUAUUGCACAAUGGAGGAAACUCUGAUGCAGCGACGCCGCGUGAGUGAAGAAGUAAUUCGUUAUGUAAAGCUCUAUCAGCAGGGAAGAUAGUGACGGUACCUGACUAAGAAGCCCCGGCUAAAUACGUG
rnacentral:rRNA from 1 species